GACGAACGCUGGCGGCGUGCUUAACACAUGCAAGUCGAGCGGUAAGGCCCUUUCGGGGGUACACGAGCGGCGAACGGGUGAGUAACACGUGGGUGACCUGCCCUCAGCUCUGGGAUAAGCCUGGGAAACCGGGGUCUAAUACUGGAUAUGACUCCAUGACGCAUGUUGUGGGGUGGAAAGCCUUGUGCGGCUGAGGAUGGGCCCGCGGCCUAUCAGCUUGUUGGUGGGGUGAUGGCCUACCAAGGCGACGACGGGUAGCCGGCCUGAGAGGGCGACCGGCCACACUGGGACUGAGACACGGCCCAGACUCCUACGGGAGGCAGCAGUGGGGAAUCUUGCGCAAUGGGCGAAAGCCUGACGCAGCGACGCCGCGUGAGGGAUGACGGCCUGGUGUAAC
rnacentral:rRNA from 1 species